rnacentral:lncRNA from 1 species
UGCUUGAGCAGGGGGGUUGGACUAGAUGAUCUCCAGAGGUCCCUUCCAACCUCAGCGAUUCUGUGAUUCUGUGAUUCUGCGAUUCUUUCUUCUUUCUUCUCGAGGCAGGAGACAAACAGCCGAAGAAAUGAGAGCUCAAACAGUGGAUAUCACCCACAGAGACUGGUGUUUAAACUGUAAGCUUACCAAAAGAUGGUAAAAACACAAGGUGUUCUGUGACUGAAACAAGCCUGAAGAACUAAUCCUACCGUUUAUGUGGCUGAUAAUUAUCGGUCCAGAUUUUGAUUGAGAUCUGGACCAAAAUAUUCUUAAUCUUUCAAAUAACCCAUGACAGAGCAAUUAGAAUUUGCAAAAGGACCAAAGUCCCUCAGUCCAGACUGAAGUUUGCAGAAGCUGAAAAAUUUUUUACCACUUUUAAAGGGGCAGAGAAUUCAAAAUACUGCAUGAAAAGAAGCCUUCAGCAAAUGGGUGCACAGCACUGAAAGAACGAGGCACACAUUCUGCGGCAUGCAAUGGAAGCCAAGACGGCACUAAGAAGAGGCAAGAGGAGCAACAGAUUUAAUGUCAUGCAACUGGUCUUAGGGAUGCUUUCAAGAAGAAAGGAAAUUGUUAUCUACGCAAAAUGCAAAGUGAAGAUUCACAAGGGACUGUUUGGCUGCUGUUCCAUGACAACAGUUUACAGUAUCAUCCGUUUCCACAUGCAGCUAUGUCUUAUUCAAACAAUCACCAAGAUUAUUAAUAUGCAGAGCAAACAGUGAAAGACCCAAUAUGAAUCUCUGUAGAAGUUAUCUGGGAAUGAAUAAAUAUUAAGAGUAAAUAUUUGCUGGCUUGAUA